AUCCUGUGGGAUAGCUCAGUCGGUAGAGCAUGAGUCUCUUAAACUAAGGGCCGUGGGUUCAAGCCCCACAUUGGGCA